rnacentral:RNase_P_RNA from 2 species
CAGGUACAACAGGUGAUUGCUUGUCGUUUAGACAAGAGGAAAGUCCGGGCUGCCGUAAGACAGGGUUCCAUCUAACGGAUGGCCGGUGUAAACCGAGGGACAGUGCAACAGAGAGUAGACCGCCACUGGUUAAUGUUGAAUUGUAAAUUUUGAAUUUUGAAUGAAAAGCAAAGUUUGUUAUUUAACUUUGCGUAUUGUUGCUGUGACGCUUUUUACGAAAUUACCGAAAGUAAUUUUGUGCUUUAGUGCCAUAGCGGCUAGCGUAGGUUUGAGGAACUUGUUUCUUUGCGUAUUGUUGUUGUGACGCUUUUUACGAAAUUACCGAAAGUAAUUUUGUGCUUUAGUGCCAUAGCGGCUAGCGUAGGUUUGAGGAACUUGUUUCUCAAACCGUUCCAUUAGUGGCAAGGGUGAAACGGCGGGGUAAGAGCCCACCAGUUCCUUGAGUGAUCUUGGAAGCUAUGUAAACCCAACCUGGCAGCAAGAAACAGAUGGUUAGCGUCUUACAGUGCUAUUGUUUCGCUGGAGGUAUCCAUCAAUGGAUGCAGUAGAUAAAUUUUCACCUUUUACAGAACCCGGCUUAUGUUGUACCUGCUUU